UUGUUGUCCAUGCAUUCGUUCUCAUUGCCAGUUGGACGGCGUAAGAGUUAACGUCAGUAGGCAGCAAGACGUAAACGAAAAUGGUUGUGUUUUUGUUGUUACGUGAACGUUGAUUUAUUUAUGCAUCAUUUUUUUGCGAUUUUUUUUUGCGUGUGUGCGUGUACGAAAUAACAAUCGUAAGCGACUAUUUAAUAAUAGUGAGUGCAAUGUUUAUUACAAAAAUAAUUACAAAAGAUAAUUAAUACGGCAACAACAACAACAACGACAAGAGCAAUUGUGCAAUAAAUACUAAAUAAUUUGAAUAUUUUAACAAAAAGU